CACGUAGGAUCCAAGCGUUAUCCGGAUUUACUGGGCGUAAAGCGCGUGUAGGCGGUUGGGAUAGUUGGAUGUGAAAGCUCCCGGCUUAACUGGGAGAGGUCGUUCAAAACUUCCCAACUAGGGUUUGGUAGAGGAAAAUGGAAUUCCGGGUGUAGUGGUGAAAUGCGUAGAUAUCCGGAGGAACACCAGUGGCGAAAGCGAUUUUCUGGACCGAUACUGACGCUCAGACGCGAAAGCUAGGGUAGCAAACGGG
rnacentral:misc_RNA from 1 species